ACUGUCUUAGUAUAUGUUAUUAUAUAGGCUUUUCGUGCCUAAGAAGGUGUACCUACACCAGGCAGUG
rnacentral:tRNA from 1 species